UACGUAGGGUGCAAGCGUUAAUCGGAAUUACUGGGCGUAAAGCGUGCGCAGGCGGCUCCUUAAGUCAGAUGUGAAAGCCCCGGGCUUAGCCUGGGAACUGCGUUUGAAACUGGGGAGCUAGAGUGUAGAAGAGGGGGGUGGAAUUCCAGGUGUAGCAGUGAAAUGCGUAGAUAUCGGGAGGAACACCAGUGGCGAAGGCGGUUACCUGGAGCUUUGCUGACGCUGAUGCGCGAAAGCGUGGGGAGCGAUCCGG
rnacentral:rRNA from 1 species